GGCUACGGCCAUGCCACAAUGAAUGUGCCUAAUUGUCUGAUUUCGGAAGCUAAGCAGGGUUGGGCCUGGUUAGUACUUGGAUGGGAGACCACCUUGGAAUACCAGGUGCUGUAGGUG
rnacentral:rRNA from 1 species